CAACCCUCAAGCCCGCAGCGGUUUGGUGUUGGGGACCGGCUGUAGCGCUUGCUGCAUAUAGUGCAAGCGCGCGCCGCCCCCGAAAUGAAUUGGCGGUCUCGUCGCGGCCUCCUCUGCGUAGUAGCACAAACCUCGCAACAGGAGCGCGGCGCGGCCACUGCCGUAAAACGCCCAACUUUUUAAG
rnacentral:misc_RNA from 1 species